AUUCCGGUUGAUCCUGCCGGAGGCCAUUGCUAUUGGGAUCCGAUUUAGCCAUGCUAGUUGUACGAGUUUAGACUCGUAGCGAAUAGCUCAGUAACACGUGGCCAAACUACCCUUCGGACCACAAUACCCUCGGGAAACUGAGGCUAAUAGUGGAUCACACACUCACACUGGAAUGUCGAGUGUGUCAAACGCUCCGGCGCCGAAGGAUGUGGCUGCGGCCGAUUAGGUAGACGGUGGGGUAACGGCCCACCGUGCCAAUAAUCGGUACGGGUCAUGAGAGUGAGAACCCGGAGACGGAAUCUGAGACAAGAUUCCGGGCCCUACGGGGCGCAGCAGGCGCGAAACCUUUACACUGCACGCCAGUGCGAUAAGGGGAUCCCAAGUGCGCAGGCAUAGAGCCUGCGCUUUUGUCCACCCUAGGGAGGUGGACGAAUAAGGGCUGGGCAAGACCGGUGCCAGCCGCCGCGGUAAUACCGGCAGCCCGAGUGAUGGCCGAUCUUAUUGGGCCUAAAGCGUCCGUAGCU
rnacentral:rRNA from 1 species